AGGAUCACUUCAGCCAAGAUCAGUUUGAGGAGGUCCUUGUAAAAGGGAAGAAACGGCUGAAGCCAGAUGCCAUCCCCAGCAUCUUCAGCUUUUCUGCACCGUCAGAAUCGCCAUGCACGGCUGGUGACAUACCAAGUGAAAGUUCCUCCAAUACAGCAACAGAAGGAAUCAAAAUGGAAGUUCAGUCGGACACCUACAAUGCUUCCACUCCUUGCAGUGACAUGAAAUCGACACCCAUCG